UUUCCGUAGGUGAACCUGCGGAAGGAUCAUUAAAGUUAUAGUCCCCCGGCCCUCUGGGCUGGGGUCUUCUAUACCACCCUUUGUUUAUUACACCUUUGUUGCUUUGGCAGGCCUGCCCUCGGGCUGCUGGCUCCGGCCGGCUCGCGCCUGCCAGAGGACCUAAACUCUGUUUGUAUACGAAGUCUGAGUACUAUAUAAUAGUUAAAACUUUCAACAACGGAUCUCUUGGUUCUG
rnacentral:misc_RNA from 1 species